AUUUAGUUAGAUUAACCAAGACCUAGAGAAGCUUCCUGUCCCACUUAUACAUGAUCCCCCAGCAUCUUUACGGAUGAGUCCAGAAUUUUCCAGGCAUUACCCUCCUACAUUCUUUUUGACAUUUACAGGGAGAUUGCACUGCCUCUCUAAAGGCCUCAGCACUUAAGAGACAUGGACCUGUGAAGGAAUGGGGACUCCCUGAAGGAAGUGAUUCUAUCCAGCAAUUUUGAGAAUCAGGCUGGGAACAAAGAGGUAGAGUCUAAAAGUAACUGAAUCACCCUUUUCUUCUGAGAGCACACAGGAUGGUGACCCAUAAAAAGGGAGUUGCUUCCGGAAGCAUGUGUUUCAUAAUUCCCAGUCCACACUGUUGGCCUGAAACUCAUCUGUGCUUGAGUCAUCACAAUGAUGAAGCAAAGAGUCAGAGCAAUUGCUCCAGUUUGCCAAAGGACAGAGGAUGUACCGACUUUGAUUACAUCACAAUCCUACAGAAACAGGGGAUCCAUGCUAUUAUGAGGAAGUCACUAGGCAGGAAACUGUUUCAGGAAGAGUCAGAGUGAAUCUUUGAAGUGAGCAUCUGUACUAUUCUUUCUACAAUGUUGCCCAACUGCUGUCAAAUAUAAAUACCAGCUAUGUACUGGGGCACCAUC